AAAUGGUUAGUUUAAGAGUUAUGAUUUUUUAAAAUUCGGGACAAGAAAACCCUUCGCGGGAAAAAUAUGUUUUGAAGGGAUUUUGUUAUAUUUUGAGUUUUAUGCAAAAUAAAGGAGUUUUAGGAGGCUAACACAAGAUUCAUAUAAAGAUUUAAGCUACACUCUCUAUAUUUAGAUACUCAGUAUAUUCCCAGAUAGCAAAUCAUGCCAUACGACAAUGAAAUGACUUGAAAUGAAACCGAAGCCUCUUUAAUUGAGACCUCAUUAAGUUGCCCAACUGAGUCAAGUUUCAUACUGGAUAAGAGGCCCAUAAUAAUACCUAGAUUGGAUGUCCCUAUAAUUGGGUCAAAUUGGCCCUUUGCGUCA
rnacentral:lncRNA from 1 species